GACGAACGCUGGCGGCGUGCUUAACACAUGCAAGUCGAACGGAAAGGCCCUGCUUUUGUGGGGUGCUCGAGUGGCGAACGGGUGAGUAACACGUGAGUAACCUGCCCUUGACUUUGGGAUAACUUCAGGAAACUGGGGCUAAUACCGGAUAGGAGCUCCUGCUGCAUGGUGGGGGUUGGAAAGUUUCGGCGGUUGGGGAUGGACUCGCGGCUUAUCAGCUUGUUGGUGGGGUAGUGGCUUACCAAGGCUUUGACGGGUAGCCGGCCUGAGAGGGUGACCGGCCACAUUGGGACUGAGAUACGGCCCAGACUCCUACGGGAGGCAGCAGUAGGGAAUAUUGCGCAAUGGGCGGAAGCCUGAUGCAGCAACGCCGCGUGCGGGAUGACUGCCUUCGGGUUGUAAACCGCUUUCGCCUGUGACGAAGCGUGAGUGACGGUAAUGGGUAAAGAAGCACCGGCUAACUACGUG
rnacentral:rRNA from 1 species